rnacentral:rRNA from 1 species
AUUGAACGCUGGCGGCAGGCCUAACACAUGCAAGUCGAGCGGCAGCGGGAAAGUAGCUUGCUACUUUUGCCGGCGAGCGGCGGACGGGUGAGUAAUGCCUGGGAAAUUGCCCAGUCGAGGGGGAUAACAGUUGGAAACGACUGCUAAUACCGCAUACGCCCUACGGGGGAAAGCAGGGGACCUUCGGGCCUUGCGCGAUUGGAUAUGCCCAGGUGGGAUUAGCUAGUUGGUGAGGUAAUGGCUCACCAAGGCGACGAUCCCUAGCUGGUCUGAGAGGCUGGUAAGCCACACUGGAACUGAGAAACGGUCCAGACUCCGACGGGAGGCAGCAGUGGGGAAUAUUGCACGAUGGGGGAAACCCUGAUGCAGCCAUGCCGCGUGUGUGAAGAAGGCCUUCGGGUUGUAAAGCACUUUCAGCGAGGAGGAAAGGUUGAUGCCUAAUACGUAUCAACUGUGACGUUACUCGCAGAAGAAGCACCGGCUAACUCCGUGCCAGCAGCCGCCGUAA